rnacentral:rRNA from 1 species
CGAUGAUGGGAGCUUGCUCCUGGAUUAGUGGCGAACGGGUGAGUAACACGUGAGUAACCUGCCCUUAACUCUGGGAUAAGCCUGGGAAACUGGGUCUAAUACCGGAUAUGACUCCUCAUCGCAUGGUGGGGGGUGGAAAGCUUUUUGUGGUUUUGGAUGGACUCGCGGCCUAUCAGCUUGUUGGUGAGGUAAUGGCUUACCAAGGCGACGACGGGUAGCCGGCCUGAGAGGGUGACCGGCCACACUGGGACUGAGACACGGCCCAGACUCCUACGGGAGGCAGCAGUGGGGAAUAUUGCACAAUGGGCGCAAGCCUGAUGCAGCGACGCCGCGUGAGGGAUGACGGCCUUCGGGUUGUAAACCUCUUUCAGUAGGGAAGAAGCGAAAGUGACGGUACCUGCAGAAGAAGCGCCGGCUAACUACGUGCCAGCAGCCGCGGUAAUACGUAGGGCGCAAGCGUUAUCCGGAAUUAUUGGGCGUAAAGAGCUCGUAGGCGGUUUGUCGCGUCUGCCGUGAAAGUCCGGGGCUCAACUCCGGAUCUGCGGUGGGUACGGGCAGACUAGAGUGAUGUAGGGGAGACUGGAAUUCCUGGUGUAGCGGUGAAAUGCGCAGAUAUCAGGAGGAACACCGAUGGCGAAGGCAGGUCUCUGGGCAUUAACUGACGCUGAGGAGCGAAAGCAUGGGGAGCGAACAGGAUUAGAUACCCCUGGUAGUCCAUGCCGUAAACGUUGGGCACUAGGUGUGGGGGACAUUCCACGUUUUCCGCGCCGUAGCUAACGCAUUAAGUGCCCCGCCUGGGGAGUACGGCCGCAAGGCUAAAACUCAAAGGAAUUGACGGGGGCCCGCACAAGCGGCGGAGCAUGCGGAUUAAUUCGAUGCAACGCGAAGAACCUUACCAAGGCUUGACAUGAACCGGUAAUACCUGGAGACAGGUGCCCCGCUUGCGGUCGGUUUACAGGUGGUGCAUGGUUGUCGUCAGCUCGUGUCGUGAGAUGUUGGGUUAAGUCCCGCAACGAGCGCAACCCUCGUUCUAUGUUGCCAGCACGUGAUGGUGGGGACUCAUAGGAGACUGCCGGGGUCAACUCGGAGGAAGGUGGGGACGACGUCAAAUCAUCAUGCCCCUUAUGUCUUGGGCUUCACGCAUGCUACAAUGGCCGGUACAAAGGGUUGCGAUACUGUGAGGUGGAGCUAAUCCCAAAAAGCCGGUCUCAGUUCGGAUUGGGGUCUGCAACUCGACCCCAUGAAGUCGGAGUCGCUAGUAAUCGCAGAUCAGCAACGCUGCGGUGAAUACGUUCCCGGGCCUUGUACACACCGCCCGUCAAGUCACGAAAGUUGGUAACACCCGAAGCCGGUGGCCUAACCCCUUG